UGGGUCCCACUGUGAAGUGAGAUCCCUCCA
rnacentral:snRNA from 1 species